rnacentral:rRNA from 1 species
CACCGCGGUUAUACGAGAGACCCAAGUAGAUGGCUUUCGGCGUAAAGAGUGGUUAAGAGAAACCCACAACUAAAGAAGAACGACCUCCGAGCUGUUAUACGCAUAUGAAAGUACGAAAAUCAUCCACGAAAGUGACUUUAAGACCCUGAACCCACGAAAGCUAUGCCA